GACCCACUUGCAAUAAAAGUAUAACUAUAUGAUACUCUAUUCUAUUAUUCCAUAUCAAUUCCGAUUACAAACACACCAACUCCGACUUUGAUUCUCUCUUUUUAUCUUUUUAAACCCUUUCCUUUUGAUCCUUUUAAUAAUUUAUACACGAAUUCAAGACUUCUCAACUGUGCACACCUCAAGAACAUAUCAGCUUUCACUGCUUGCCUUUUUUUUUUUUUUUAAUCUGGGUUUUGCAAAAAAAGGCGGAGUGGUUUUGCUGGAUUCAUGGCAGUUAAUAA